rnacentral:rRNA from 1 species
AGUGAACGCUGGCGGUAGGCCUAACACAUGCAAGUCGAACGGCAGCACAGUAAGAGCUUGCUCUUACGGGUGGCGAGUGGCGGACGGGUGAGGAAUACAUCGAAAUCUACUUUUUCGUGGGGGAUAACGUAGGGAAACUUACGCUAAUACCGCAUACGACCUACGGGUGAAAGCAGGGGAUCUUCGGACCUUGCGCGAUUGAAUGAGCCGAUGUCGGAUUAGCUAGUUGGCGGGGUAAAGGCCCACCAAGGCGACGAUCCGUAGCUGGUCUGAGAGGAUGAUCAGCCACACUGGAACUGAGACACGGUCCAGACUCCUACGGGAGGCAGCAGUGGGGAAUAUUGGACAAUGGGCGCAAGCCUGAUCCAGCCAUACCGCGUGGGUGAAGAAGGCCUUCGGGUUGUAAAGCCCUUUUGUUGGGAAAGAAAGGCAGCAGGUUAAUACCCCGCUGUUCUGACGGUGCCCAAAGAAUAAGCACCGGCUAACUUCGUG